rnacentral:rRNA from 1 species
UACGUAGGGUGCGAGCGUUGUCCGGAAUUACUGGGCGUAAAGAGCUCGUAGGCGGUUCGUCGCGUCGGCUGUGAAAUCCCGAGGCUCAACCUCGGGUCUGCAGUCGAUACGGGCGGACUGGAGUUCGGCAGGGGAGACUGGAAUUCCUGGUGUAGCGGUGAAAUGCGCAGAUAUCAGGAGGAGCACCGGUGGCGAAGGCGGGUCUCUGGGCCGAUACUGACGCUGAGGAGCGAAAGCGUGGGGAGCGAACAGG